rnacentral:rRNA from 1 species
GAUGAACGCUGGCGGCGUGCCUAAUACAUGCAAGUCGAGCGAACAGACGAGGAGCUUGCUCCUCUGGCGUUAGCGGCGGACGGGUGAGUAACACGUGGAUAACCUACCUAUAAGACUGGGAUAACUUUGGGAAACCGGAGCUAAUACCGGAUAAUAUAUUGAACCGCAUGGUUCAAUAGUGAAAGACGGUUUUGCUGUCACUUAUAGAUGGAUCCGCGCCGCAUUAGCUAGUUGGUAAGGUAACGGCUUACCAAGGCGACGAUGCGUAGCCGACCUGAGAGGGUGAUCGGCCACACUGGAACUGAGACACGGUCCAGACUCCUACGGGAGGCAGCAGUAGGGAAUCGUCCGCAAUGGGCGAAAGCCUGACGGAGCAACGCCGCGUGAGUGAUGAAGGUCUUCGGAUCGUAAAACUCUGUUAUUAGGGAAGAAAAAAUGUGUAAGUAACUAUGCACGUCUUGACGGGACCUAAUCAGAAAGCCACGGCUAACUACG